rnacentral:rRNA from 1 species
AACGAACGCUGGCGGCAUGCCUAACACAUGCAAGUCGAACGAGACCUUCGGGGCUAGUGGCGCACGGGUGCGUAACGCGUGGGAACCUGCCCUUAGGUUCGGAAUAACUCCCCGAAAGGGGUGCUAAUACCGGAUAAUGUCUUCGGACCAAAGAUUUAUCGCCUUUGGAUGGGCCCGCGUUGGAUUAGCUAGUUGGUAGGGUAAAAGCCUACCAAGGCGACGAUCCAUAGCUGGUCUGAGAGGAUGAUCAGCCACACUGGGACUGAGACACGGCCCAGACUCCUACGGGAGGCAGCAGUGGGGAAUAUUGGACCAUGGGCGAAAGCCUGAUCCAGCAAUGCCGCGUGAGUGAUGAAGGCAUUAGGGUUGUAAAGCUCUUUUACCCGGGAUGAUAAUGACAGUACCGGGAGAAUAAGCUCCGGCUAACUCCGUG